rnacentral:rRNA from 1 species
CGGGACACGUGGUAUCCUGUCUGAAUAUGGGGGGACCAUCCUCCAAGGCUAAAUACUCCUGACUGACCGAUAGUGAACCAGUACCGUGAGGGAAAGGCGAAAAGAACCCCGGCGAGGGGAGUGAAAAAGAACCUGAAACCGUGUACGUACAAGCAGUGGGAGCACGCUUAGGCGUGUGACUGCGUACCUUUUGUAUAAUGGGUCAGCGACUUAUAUUCUGUAGCAAGGUUAACCGAAUAGGGGAGCCGAAGGGAAACCGAGUCUUAACUGGGCGUUAAGUUGCAGGGUAUAGACCCGAAACCCGGUGAUCUAGCCAUGGGCAGGUUGAAGGUUGGGUAACACUAACUGGAGGACCGAACCGACUAAUGUUGAAAAAUUAGCGGAUGACUUGUGGCUGGGGGUGAAAGGCCAAUCAAACCGGGAGAUAGCUGGUUCUCCCCGAAAGCUAUUUAGGUAGCGCCUCGUGAAUUCAUCUCCGGGGGUAGAGCACUGUUUCGGCAAGGGGGUCAUCCCGACUUACCAACCCGAUGCAAACUGCGAAUACCGGAGAAUGUUAUCACGGGAGACACACGGCGGGUGCUAACGUCCGUCGUGAAGAGGGAAACAACCCAGACCGCCAGCUAAGGUCCCAAAGUCAUGGUUAAGUGGGAAACGAUGUGGGAAGGCCCAGACAGCCAGGAUGUUGGCUUAGAAGCAGCCAUCAUUUAAAGAAAGCGUAAUAGCUCACUGGUCGAGUCGGCCUGCGCGGAAGAUGUAACGGGGCUAAACCAUGCACCGAAGCUGCGGCAGCGACGCUGAUGCGUUGUUGGGUAGGGGAGCGUUCUGUAAGCCUGUGAAGGUGUGCUGUGAGGCAUGCUGGAGGUAUCAGAAGUGCGAAUGCUGACAUAAGUAACGAUAAAGCGGGUGAAAAGCCCGCUCGCCGGAAGACCAAGGGUUCCUGUCCAACGUUAAUCGGGGCAGGGUGAGUCGACCCCUAAGGCGAGGCCGAAAGGCGUAGUCGAUGGGAAACAGGUUAAUAUUCCUGUACUUGGUGUUACUGCGAAGGGGGGACGGAGAAGGCUAUGUUGGCCGGGCGACGGUUGUCCCGGUUUAAGCGUGUAGGCUGGUUUUCCAGGCAAAUCCGGAAAAUCAAGGCUGAGGCGUGAUGACGAGGCACUACGGUGCUGAAGCAACAAAUGCCCUGCUUCCAGGAAAAGCCUCUAAGCAUCAGGUAACAUCAAAUCGUACCCCAAACCGACACAGGUGGUCAGGUAGAGAAUACCAAGGCGCUUGAGAGAACUCGGGUGAAGGAACUAGGCAAAA